CGAGUCCCCAUAACUCCAUUCUAAAUACUUAGAAAGUAUUAGGUAAAUGGCAUUUGAACCGUCAGAAGGAUUA
rnacentral:tRNA from 1 species